AACAGACAGACACACAAGCAAAAGCCUCUUCCCUGAUUUAAGGGCGUUUAGGUCCAGUAUCUACUUGGGACUUGGUGGGAAAGGAUAGUGACGCAGACCCAAGCAGCAGUGAUGAAAGAACUUCAUGACGACAAAGGCCACUUCUCUAGAAGACUUUGUAGAGCUCACCCCAGAGCUACAUUGGGAAGCACAUCAGCAAAAGCUCAUCCCUCAGGCUGGAGAAAUGGUUCCCAUCACGAUCUGGAAGCUUUCACCCCAACUGUUACAAGAUGGUCACCGAUCAACUGCUGGGACUGUUGUCAGGGAGGUUUGCAGUGCUAUGCGGAGACUGCUGCUGUGCUGUUUCAUAAAGCCUGGCAAUACCCAGAGGUGAUGGAUGACUUUUUAUAAAAAAUGGUUUUCAAACUGUCUGGUGACUAUUAAUGGAACAAAGGCACUUGCUUAUCCCUUGCCCCUCCCUACUCCCAACCCCCCAUACAAAGCCAAAAACUUCAUCAACCAGGAGAGAGAUUUGCCCAUGGUGCAAGAAGGCCUGAUUGAUGAUCACCCUGGAAGAGUCGUCAAUAAUAACGUAGGGUGGUCUGGAAAGCCCUGUAAUGCUGGUGUAUGCUGGUUUCCUGGAACAAGCAAGGGGAUGUUUGCUUUCCAGAGCUCUAUGGAGUUUGGAUUUCUGCUGUCAUCCUCUGUGGCUCAGCUUAUCCUCUGCUUCCUUGGCUUUUGAACUGUUUCACUGUAUGCCUGGGCAAGAGAGGAGUGUUUUAACAUUACCCUGAGUAGCUGCAGAAUGUCCUUGGAAUGCACUUUUGGGAGAUUAAAGGGUAGGUGGCAAUGUGUCAUAGCACAGCUGGGUGCUUCUCAUCAUUAAACGGUUUGCAUAUUAAGUUCCUGCUAUAUUUUACACAUCUGUGAGAGCCAGGACAAGAUCAUGGAGGAUGACUAGGAGCUGGAGGCCGAGACUUUUGGAAUGGCAUAGCUAGCCAGAGAUGGUGCCUCUGCAAAAUGCCUGUGAGAUCAAGAAAAUAAGGUCACUAAUACAUUCUGCUCCUUCUUGGAGUCGAGGGGGUAGUUGUGGGUAAUUCCACAAGUAAAUUGGAUGUAUUUGAUUUCAUUAGGAAUAACAUAGCAUAGCAUAAUGUUGUGUCACUUAUGGGGUGAGCUGUACUUCAGUGAAAUUUUUCAGCUGACUUGUACCAAAAGGAAUGUAUUGAUAAAAAGAAAAGGAGUAUUGCUUAUUGAACCUACACAGAACAAUUAGAGAAAAACACAGUACAAACUUAAUACCAAUGUAACUGAAGGAUGGCCAAUAAAAAGUGCUCAUAUGACCACC